rnacentral:rRNA from 1 species
AUUGAACGCUGGCGGCAUGCUUUACACAUGCAAGUCGAACGGUAACAGGCCUCCAGGUGCUGACGAGUGGCGAACGGGUGAGUAAUGCAUCGGAACGUACCCAGUCGUGGGGGAUAACUACUCGAAAGCUGAGCUAAUACCGCAUACGAUCUAUGGAUGAAAGCGGGGGACCGUAAAGCAUCGCGCGAUUUGAGCGGUCGAUGUCAGAUUAGGUAGUUGGUGGGGUAAAGGCUGACCAAGGCCACGAUCUGUAGCUGGUCUGAGAGGACGACCAGCCACACUGGGACUGAGACACGGCCCAGACUCCUACGGGAGGCAGCAGUGGGGAAUUUUGGACAAUGGGCGCAAGCCUGAUCCAGCAAUGCCGCGUGCGGGAAGAAGGCCUUCGGGUUGUAAACUGCUUUUGUAAGGAACGAAACGGCUCUGGUUAAUACCCGGGGCUAAUGACGGUACCGUAAGAAUAAGCACCGGCUAACUACGUG